rnacentral:sRNA from 1 species
GGAAGGGAAAUACAGAUAGGUCAGAUACUCCAUGAAGAGAAAUAUCACUGAACAAAAAUGGAAAGUCCAUAGUCUCUGGGACUGCUGGUUUGAUGGGCACAAGGUUGAUUUUGAACUUUCUUCUUUUGAUAGUUUCAAGCAGCUUAUGCUGGGCAGUCUUGCAAAUUAAGUACUAGAUUUCCUCUCUAUGGUCUUUGUGAGUAUUAAGACCCCUAAAAUUUCUAUUCCCACUUCAUAUUCCCUGAUUUUCUUCCAAAAUAACUAGAGUUGCCAUCCUCUUCUUUGAAAGUCCAUAGCUUUUCGGGCCGAAGCUGUCUAAAGUGUACACAGGGCCCUGAAGACCUAAGUAAUAUGUACAAUAGAUAAAAUUAGAUAGAAUUUAUACCCCAGCCUCAAGUAGAGAAAUGGAAUAGGGUUCUAGAAAGUGGAGUCCCCAUUUGUAGCUGAGCAGGGGCAGAAGAAGGCUCUCAAGCCCCUUCUGGGAAGUGCCCCCUUCUCUUUCUGGUGACGAGGUGCCAGGUGGUUGGUGUAUUGGUUAGAGCAAUAGAGAACUGGGCAUAGGUACAUUUGAUUUUUUUACUUGAAGCUUUCUAUGCCUGCCCUGCCCUAUCGCAGGAGAAGAAGAAGACCUCACAGUUGACACCUCAACGGGGCUUUAGUGAAAAUGAGGAUGACGAUGAUGAUGAUGAUGAUUCAUCUGAAACUGAUUCUGAUUCUGAUGAUGAUGAUGAAGAGCAUGGAGCCCCUCUGGAAGGGGCCUAUGACCCUGCAGACUAUGAGCAUUUGCCAGUUUCUGCUGAAAUUAAGGAACUCUUCCAGUACAUCAGUAGGUACACACCUCAGUUGAUUGACCUGGACCACAAACUGAAGCCCUUCAUUCCUGAUUUUAUCCCAGCUGUCGGGGAUAUUGAUGCAUUCUUAAAGGUCCCACGUCCUGAUGGAAAGCCUGACAACCUUGGCCUAUUGGUAUUGGAUGAACCUUCUACAAAGCAGUCAGACCCUACAGUGCUCUCACUCUGGUUAACAGAGAAUUCUAAGCAGCACAACAUCACACAACAUAUGAAAGUAAAAAGCCUAGAAGAUGCAGAAAAGAAUCCCAAAGCCAUUGACACGUGGAUUGAGAGCAUCUCUGAAUUACACCGUUCUAAGCCCCCUGCGACUGUGCACUACACCAGGCCCAUGCCCGACAUUGACACGCUGAUGCAGGAAUGGUCCCCGGAGUUUGAAGAGCUUUUGGGCAAGGUAAGCCUGCCCACGGCAGAGAUUGAUUGCAGCCUGGCAGAGUACAUUGACAUGAUCUGUGCCAUUCUAGACAUCCCUGUCUACAAGAGUCGGAUCCAGUCCCUCCAUCUGCUCUUUUCCCUUUACUCAGAAUUCAAGAACUCACAGCAUUUUAAAGCUCUCGCUGAAGGCAAGAAAGCAUUCACUCCUUCAUCCAAUUCCACCUCCCAAGCUGGAGACAUGGAGACAUUAACCUUCAGCUGAGACACCUCCCAAGCU